UCGUUUGAUUGUUUGGGUUUUUGUGGUUUUUGUUUCCUUUGCUCUCUCUCCCUGUUACCUCUGUUGGUUUUUGUCACUGGUGUUCUUUGUUCUCUCAUGUUCUAUCUUGCUUUUCUAUCAACUUAAAGCUUUCCGGUGAGUUAUUCAAAACUUGCAAGUGGGAGGGUUUUUUUUUGUUUUUUUUUCUUUCCAAAUCGAUGAGUUUUAUUAUCUUCAAUUUUAGAUGUUAAAAAUUGAUUGUUUAUUUUGGUUAGAUAUUUUAUUAACCUUUGUUAUGUGUUCUGAUCAAGGAUUGAAUUAGGUUUGGGAGUUUUAAUUUGAUGAUUUUUUUUUUAUUCAAAUGUUUAGUUGCAAAAAUUUUAAAUUAGUUUGUGUUCUGGGUUUCAGAUUUGGUGAAAUAUUUUAUUGGCUUGUGUUAUGUGUUUUGAUGAAGGUUUGAACACAAAAAAACAACCACACAGGCCUUGGCCUUUUGCAUUGAGUAUUUUGCUUCUUUUUUUUUUGGUGUUGUGGUUGUUUGUUUUUUAUUUCAGGAAACAUUGCUGAUCGAAUUUUAGGGUUUUGUAUAGAAGCUUGCUAGCCCUUUCUGAUUAAGGUAUAUAAUUUAUGUUUUUCCUCUUAAAUCUUUUCUUGAACAAAAGUUUAAAUUUUUUUGGGUCUUAUUUCGUUUGCAGAUCUAUUUUAUAAUAAUAAUAAUAAUAAUAAUAAUAAAUAAUUUUUGGGGUUUUGUUUCUGUGUUUGGAUUUUUAGUGUGGGUAUAUGAUUUGGUUUUUUAUUUUAUUUUGAGGAAGCAAUGGUCAUCGUUUUUUGCCGCGUUUAUGUGUAGGGUUCCAGUUUCCAGGUGCUUGAGGUCAAUCCCGUUCUGUUUGCAACAUACUAGCGAUGAUUUAAAACAUUUUACGGUGGACAAUCAAUUGGAAACAGCUUCAAAUGGGAAGUUUUCGCAAGGGACGCAUGUAAGUGGGGUUUGCCCGAUGCCGAUGGAGAAUGCUUUUUGGAAUUCCAUUAAGGGAAAUUUUGGGUUUUAUUGAAGAAAUUUUAAACCCAUAAAGCUUGGGUUUCCUGGUGGACUAUGCCGUUUGAGAAACUAUGUACUCAAACGCUCUCAACGAAUACCCGCUUUCUCCCUCUCUCUCAUGAUAAUUGAUACGGAGUACCAGACCCAGAGAAGGUGAGAAUCUAGACUUCCCAAACUUGGCCUCCCAUCUCGGCUGUGGAGUAUCAACCGGUACACUUGAGCUUCCCAAACUAUGUUGAAAUAUUUGAGAAAUGCUGAGUAAACAAAAGAGAAAAGGAAUUUUAGAGAGAGUGAUAUAAUAGUUGCUCUAUAAUUGUAUGAAUGAAUUAACUAUUCAACAAAGAGAGAGAGUUAACAAUUUAUACAACACCUAAUCACCUUGCUUAGCCCUCAUGGCACAUACUUAACAGACUAACAAACACUAACAAUCUCUAAACUGGUCUGCUGAGCUGGACCAUUAACCUCUGUUUAUAUCUCAGCCACUCAUUUUUCGGCACUUAUUACUAUUUGCAAAAUCUAGAGUUGCAGAAACCCCAUUCUUAAUGAAUAUUAUUUUUUGUUGAUAAUUAAUUGAUGAUUAAUCUAUUCCAUUAUUAUUAUUUUACCGCCAAAUACUUUGAAUAUUCAUUAGCAAAAGAUAUAGGGUUAACUAUUUAAUGAAUACAAUUUUGAUGGUUGAUUGCAUUUCGUCAGUUAUAAAUAUGGUGAAUCCAUUAUUCAAUGCUAGCUGAAUAAUCACAAUGAUUUGGCCACUUAUCUUGAAUUCUGUUCAAAUUGAUGAAGUCGCAUGUUUCUUAAAUGGAAACUUGUGUUCUUUGAAUUUGGCUUUUACAAUUGAAGUCAAAUUGACUCUGGCUUGAGCGACAUUUGUAAAUCCCGUGUUCUGAAAAUUACUUUACACACCAUGACCUGCAUUUCUAACUGUUUACUAGUCUAUACUUUAGAGAUAGUGUACAUCAUUUUACUUUUUGUUGUGCAUGUGACUGUGAUCUUGAAUAUUUGAUAUUCUUUGAGAUUUUCAGCAUUCAGGUUUCGAAAAUUCUGAACUCUAUUCUUUUGUUUUUCUUCCUGUUUUAUCAAGAAUUGAGCCAUGGUCCUUUAAACAACAUUUGGGGCAAGCUGUUUUUAUCCCUGUUGGAUGCCCUUUUCAAGUCAGGAAUCUUUAGGUAGUUUUCUUUGUUGCUAAAUUAAUAUUUUUGAAGUACCAACUCCGGGAUAUUUAAUGAAAAUGUGAACGGUUUAGAUUGACUAGACAAGUAAUUUAUUUAAAGCAUCUAAUUGUACUUGCAUAUGUAUUAGUUUUAUUUCUUGGUCGUUCAACGACGUCACAUAGCAAAAGUUAAGUCAUCUAAUACUACAAUGUACAUACAAUACAGAAAGAAGCUAUCUUAAUAUUGGAUAACUUAACAUUCUCUGUUUUUUAUUUUUUAGUUUUCAUUAACCCUGUAUCUUAAAAAAUAGUUAUUUUUGAGUUUUGUAGGCUACUUUUAUCAAUUGUCAAAUGUGACUCAAAAACUAAUCCAAAAGCUUUAAAAAAAAUUUACUGUUUGAUAAUUUCCUUUCCGAAAUUCUAAUUAUGUUUAUACUUUUGUCAAUCAUUACAUGUUUUGUAAGAACUCCAAAUUCACAUUGUAUUUCAAUAAAUUUUAAACGCUUUGUCUACGCUCUUAAUUUUUUUUACUACAAUGUGUUAAAUAUUUUUAAUUACUAAAUCAAAUUAUUGCUAUUCCAUUUACUAGAAAAAAAAAAUUCCAGCAUUAUUCUUAUCAUUCACAGAUGUGUGCUUCUCAAGCUUUGUUCUAUAUAAAUUUUAAUGCACUUAACACUUCAGGAUCAUUGGCAUUGAUCAAAUAAGGUGACCAAAUUCUUAUUAUUGAUCAUUCAAUACCUUCUUUCUUUGCUAAGUUUUUUUUCACCCCUCUUAAAACUUAUUAACUUUGAUAUGCUUCAAGUUAUUCCUUGGUAUAGAACCUGCCUCAACUGCUUUCGAAAUAAUCAGAUUCUCUUUUGCAUGAUUAUGUGAAUGAUUGAAUUUUUGAAAGAAAUUGAUUUAAUUUUUUUUUUCAUAUUUAGGCGGGCAAGAGAUAAUGAAUUGACAAAGCAGAAAGCUUUGGAGAAAGCUAGAAAGCUUAAGGUAAAAAAACUGCAUGUUACAAAGGAAAAACCACACCAGCGCACACUUGGAAAUAGCUAGAGGUUUCAUGGGAAUUUUCAGCUAUUUGCAAUAAUGAGAAUACAAAGUAAUAGGUUUGUCAUCUUUUGAUUUAUAUUAAUUUUUUAUUGUUUUGUACAUUAAUAAUUAUGCGACUGAUUAUAUUUUAUUGUGCUAAUGUGUAGUGCAUAUAACUUUAGCCAACAUUAUAGAAUCCAUUUUCUGUUGAAAAUUUUGAAUGUUCUGUGAUGGAAAAGGUUAUGAUAAAUUGCAAGGUAGAAAUUCUGUUAUGAGUUCUUUAGCUGAUUUGGGGCAUCUUUCUUUACGAUGUUUAAUUUCAUCUAGAAACAAAUAGUGUUUAGAAUCACCAAGUGGUACAAAAAAGUAUUUUAAAUUGUUUUUUAACCAAUCUAUUGCCAACUUUUCCAACAGGUUUCUUAUUUUAUUUUCCAUUAUUAUUGUGUGCGUAAGAAUUAAUCUAUUUUGUUUGAUCCUUAUGUUACAAUACUAUAUGUGGUUGCAAAUUUGAAAAAUGUAGGGAGACAGAUCAAUUAUGAACAAAUUAGCAUGGUUCAUCCUAAUGCUAUAUAAGUUAGGUGGCUGAUUUGUUUCCUCAUUUCUUCAUUGGUGAUUUGUGUUUUCAGUGACUUUCCAUUCGUGGGUAAUAAGUUUUUGUCAAGAGUUAAUGUGUUCAGUUCUUUUUCUUUUUUAAUUUCUGUUAUGUGUGGUUCUGUGUCAUGUGGUUGGAGUGUCAUGUGAUUAGAGAUUCCAAAAGAGAAACAUUACUUCUUUUAUUUGGUCAGAGGAGGGAGAGGAAGAAGUUCUGUUCAAUUUUGGUUUUUCCGAUGGCUUAGGAAGAAAUUAUGUCACUAUUGAUAUUGCAGGUGGACAGCUUGCAGAAAUUACAAGGUAUGCUACAAUCUGUACUUCUUCGGUAGAUUUGAUUCAAAUUGAUAGAUUUCGGUGAGAAAUAAACUUUUAUCUUUUCUUUCAGUUUAGGACUCUUAGGACUUCAAAUUUGUAAAAGAUGUGAAUAUUAGAACAAUGGCAAUAGAACCACCAAUCCAUAUGAUUGUAAACAGAUUUCAACAUAUAUCUAAAUACUAUUGCAUAUCGUAUGUAUUUAGAAUUUUUCACAUGUUUUAUACAGUUUUAAAACCCGCAGCAUCGCGCGGGCACUGUUGCUAGUUAAUGUACUAAAGAACUUAUGACACUUCAAAUUCCUAUUGAGUCUGCAUACUAAAAUUCAAGUGUUCAACUCUUUUUACAAAAUCGGACGCACGGAAAGUUGAUACAACGAUACCUACGGGAAAUGGCAGUAGCCACUUUGUGUUUGGCUUUCGGUUGUGGCAUGGAUGUCUUGUUUCAAGAGAAGACAUGGUGACUACCACAAACAAAGUUGGAAGCAAGACUUGACUUUGUGGUUGCUUGCACACAAUUGUGCAUGUUUUAUUUUAUAUGCAUUAAAUGACAAAUGGAGAAAAGUUAUACUUUAUAGACUAGGUAUAGACUUUGAUGCAUGCUAGGUAGGCUAGGUGAUAAUUAUGUCAUGUGAACUUAAGACUUUUUGGUCUUGUUUGUUGGCAUAGUUGCUAGUGUAUGCCUAUAACUAGAUGCAAUAUUUGUGCAUUUAGAAAUGCAUUGAGAGAGCAUCCGAAGGAGAACACAAAGGAGAGAAAAUAUAGAGUGAGAGUGAGAAACUCUUGGGGAGAGUGAGGCUCUUAGUAAAAUUCUGUGAGGGUACAAGGGAUUGGGGUUUGGGUUAUGUUGAUUUAACUCAAGUGUAUCUUAUACUAGUUAUUCUCAUAGUGAAAAGUAAUAUCUCUUGGAGGACGUAGACAGAUUUUUGCCGAACCUCGUAAAUUUCUCGGUGUAUUUAUUUCUUGUAUUUUAUUCUAUUCAACUGAGUGUGAUUUGGUGAGGUUGUAAUCUGAAUCUCGUUUCCGCACUGACAAACGGGCCAAGGCACAACACCUUCAACCGCUGAACUUGCACUAGUUGAUGACAGAAACAUACGCGACUGCUGAUCAUCCGUGUCUUCCAUGGAAGGUCGUAUAGAACCUACAAGGUGAUGGA